rnacentral:rRNA from 1 species
GACGAACGCUGGCGGCGUGCUUAACACAUGCAAGUCGAACGGACAGGCCCUGCUUUUGUGGGGUGCUCGAGUGGCGCACGGGGGAGUAACACGUGAGUAACCUGCCCUUGACUUUGGGAUAACUCCAGGAAACUGGGGCUAUUACAGGAUAGGAGCUUCUGCUGCACGGUGGGGGUUGGAAAGUUUCGGCGGUUGGGGAUGGACUCGCGGCUUAUCAGCUUCUUGGUGGGGUAGUGGCUUACCAAGGCUACGACGGAUAGCCGGCCUGGGAGGGUGACCGGCCACAAUGGGACUGAGAUACGGCGCAGUCGCCUACGGGAGGCAGCAGUGGAGAAUAUUGCAGAAUGAGCGGAAGCCUGAGGCAGCAACGCCGCGUGCGGGAUAACGGGCUACUGGUUGUGAACCGCUGUCGCCGGUGACGAAGCGUGAGUGACGGUAAUGGGUAAAGAAGCAACGGCUAACUACGUG